UACAUGUGGGGCAAGCGUUGUUCGGAAUUACUGGGCGUAAAGCGUGCGCAGGCGGUGAUGUAAGACAGGUGUGAAAUCCCCGGGCUUAACCUGGGAACUGCAUUUGUGACUGCAUCGCUGGAGUGCGGCAGAGGGGGAUGGAAUUCCGCGUGUAGCAGUGAAAUGCGUAGAUAUGCGGAGGAACACCGAUGGCGAAGGCAAUCCCCUGGGCCUGCACUGACGCUCAUGCACGAAAGCGUGGGGAGCAAACAGG
rnacentral:rRNA from 1 species